rnacentral:rRNA from 1 species
GACGAACGCUGGCGGCGUGCUUAACACAUGCAAGUCGAACGGAAAGGCCCUGCGUUUGUGGGGUUCUCGAUUGGCGAACGGGUGAGUAACACGUGAGUAACCUGCCCUUGACUUUGUGAUAACUUCAGGAAACUCGGGCUAAUACCGGAUAGGAGCUCCUGCUGCAUGGUGUUGGUUGGAAAGUGUCGGCGGUUGGGGCUGGACUCGCGGCUUAUCAGCUUGUUGGUGGGGUAGUUGCUUACCAGGGCUGUGACGGGUAGCCGGCCUGAGAGGGUGACCGGCCACAUUGGGACUGAGAUACGGACCAGACUCCUACGGGAGGCAGCAGUGGGGAAUAUUGCACAAUGGGCGGAAGCCUGAUGCAGCAACGCCGCGUGCGGGAUGACGGCCUUCGGGUUGUAAACCGCUUUCGCCUGUGACGAAGCGUGAGUGACGGUAAUGGGUAAAGAAGCACCGGCUAACUACGUG